UACUAUGAAUUUAUUUUACCAAACUCGAAAAUAUAUUAAUAUAUAAUAACAAUUAAUAAUAAAGUAAAAUGUAUAAAACAAAUUAUUAUACAUUAAUAAUAUCGAAUAAGAAACAUAACCAAUAACAUUAUAGAUUUACACAAUAUAUAACACUAAAAUGUAAAUUAUCUUUGAAAGUUUUGCGAUGGUAUCUGUUAUAUAUUUAUAAAAUGAAAAUCUACUCGCACGGAUGUGCGGAUGAAAAAUCUAGUUUAUUAUUGUUACAUUUCCACUAAAAAGAUGUUCACUAGUGUCUUAUCGAAAUUCAAGUAUAAUCUUUUUCUUUUUCACACUGAAACACAACAUUAAUGAAAGAAAUUCGGGAUAAACCGAUAUAAAGCCUUGGUUUGAGUUACAUAUUGGUGGGAACCUUUCCCUUACUUUCCCGUCUCUCACAUCUCUCUCAACAAAAGAAAAUCCUAAUUUGAUGUGUACGGCGGUCGGCGGCUGUUCAUCAUCACCGUCAACCUCCACUUUUUAUGUUUCUUUUGCUCAUUUCCCUCAUGUAUUCUUCCCACAUACGUGCAGUUCUGAACCGUCUGGGAUCUUUGCCGAAUGGUUCGAUCUUGAGCUUCUUUCAAGAUGCAGCAAGGAAACGGUGAAAUAGUGGAGGAGAGAGUCGUAUCUCCAUGCUCAACGACGGAUCUCCAUGCUCAACGACGAAUCUCCCUUCGUUUGGUGUUUGGAGGUGCUUCCUUCCAUCUCCUCCUCGAUUUUAGGUCCAUGUAGUGGCGAACCUCUAGGAGAGCUCAGCGGUUUCUGGUGCCUCGUCGGGUCAUAGGCUGGGGCUCUAUUUGAGGACGAUGGAGCCAAGACAAGACUUGCUGCUUAGUCAUCAGGAUCUGCUAGGGUUUGUAGAGUAAGAGUUGAGUCCGUUGAUGGCAAAGCAAACUGGGAGAUGGCGGUUCUUCUCGGGUUAUCUCUUCUCUAGCGCAGGAUCACCUUGAUUAGUUGAAGGAUGGGAGUACAAGGAGGGGAGUAAUUUUGAUGAGGCUACCACUUCAACAUCGAUUAACACCACAACUUCAGCAUCGAUCAACACCACGACCUUAGCAUCGAUUUACACACACUCCUGUGAUAUCACUUGAAAUCCCUGAAAGUUCGAGUUGUCCACAUGACAUUUCAGACUUGACAUUGGAGAGCACCGAUGAAUCAAGUUGCUAUCUUGCCUCAGAUGUACACAAAUAGAUCACCAUGGAAGAUUUCUUGGAGCUAGAAGAAUUCUUAGAACUAGAGGAUGGAGAAAAACUUAAAUAUUUGGAUACUGAUAGGGAAGUCACUGUGGAAGAAUUUUUGGAGCUGGAAGAAUGGCUUUACUCGGAGAUAAAGCUUGAUGACAAUCACCACACUACAGAAUUGAACUGGAGACUUCACUGAAAAGUAACAUCGAUCGCCACCCACCCAACAACACCAAAUAUCUGAUUGCAUCGAUCGACCACAUCCACCUGAUAUUGAUCGACACCCAUCGUUGUACGAGCUGCCAGAAUACACAGUUGAGCUGGAACCAAUUGAGGAAAUAAUGCACAACUCUGAGGCCUCACACCCUGCUCUGCACGAACAUCUGCGACCAUCUAUCCACGCUGAAGAAGCUGCUGGGUUUCACAAAAGAGUGAAGAGAAUUCAUGUCCUUGUGAAGAUUGUGGUCCCAUGCACUGUAUUUGAAGUUGAAUUUCCUAUCACACCAGAUAGAAGUGUGCAUUUGGGUUCUUACAAUGGGGUAUUUUAUGAUCAUAUGUAUGCAUUAGCUACUCAGAGAGGGUUGAGAUUUGGAGGUGAAAUCGACAAAGGCCCAAUAGAAGCAGCAUCGAUCGACACUUCCACUUCAUCGUCGAUCUACAGCGGACGCGUAUCAGAGCAGAAGGAGUUUAAAAUGUGACGAAAUAUUUUUUAUGGAGGGACCACCACGCAGCCAGACAAGUUUGUGGGAGAGAAGAGGAAAAAUUAGAAGAAGAGUAAAAGGACCAAGGGAGGUCCUUAGUUAUCAUUGAUUUCUCACUUCUCAUAUGGUGUCAGGAAAUUUAGAGUGCGCAGCAGAUUCUUCUCACAGCCAUUCGCAAAGCUUCGAGCACUCCUUAUGUCUGAAAUGAUCGACAAAGGAGAAGAGUCAAUGGAGGCUCACAAAAGAAGAGUGAUGAAUCUGAAGAAAAGAGACACUGAUAUUUGUUUUGGAGAAAAAGAUGAGGAACAGUGAAGACACUGUAGCAAAGGCACUAUAGAAGCAACACUGCACCAUCGAUCGACACUUUAGUAGAGAUACUGUUCAUCGGCAUAAAAAAAGAUCCAAGGAAGACGAGUUUCCACAAGAAACGACGAUGCCUAGCUAGCAUCGGUCGACAAAGCAUCAGUAGUAUCGACCGCCACUUAGUUGUGUUGAUCAACACUCACAUCAAAAUCAUGUAUACUGUCUUUCCUAGUUAAUAUUGUCUUUAUGAUUUAAUUUCCUACCAAUAUUAGAUUGCAUAACACUAGGAAAAAUAUUAUUUAAGUCCCGGGAGGUUCUACUGUUAUUGGGUUUUGUUUUGAGCUUUAGUUUUAUGAGUAUUUAUUUAGUUUUAUUGAGUCAAGAAGGGGAUGAUGAACUUUUUCAAUUUUA